GUGCUUGCUUUGGUAGCAUGUAUACUAAAAUUUGAACGAUACAGAGAAAAUUAGCAUGGACUCAGCCAGGAAGGCAUGCAAAUUUAUGAAGCAUUUCAUAAAAAA
ensembl:snRNA U6 U6 spliceosomal RNA